rnacentral:rRNA from 1 species
CGGGGUGCAGCAGGCGCGAAAACUCUACAAUGCAGGCAACUGCGAUAGGGGAACAUCGAGUGAUCCUCAUAUUGGGGGUCUGUCCCACCGUCUAAAAAACGGUGGUUAGCAAGGGCCGGGCAAGACCGGUGCCAGCCGCCGCGGUAAUACCGGCGGCUCGAGUGGUGGCCGAUAUUAUUGAGUCUAAAGGGUCCGUAGCCGGCUUUGCAAGUCUCUCGGGAAAUCCAGCGGCUUAACCGUUGGUCGUCCGGGGGGUACUACAUUGCUUGGGACUGGGAGAGGUAGGAGGUACUCAGGGGGUAGGAGUGAAAUCCUGUAAUCCUCUGGGGACCACCGGUGGCGAAGGCGUCCUACCAGAACAGGUCCGACGGUGAGGGACGAGAGCUAGGGGCACGAACCGGAUUAGAUACCCGGGUAGUCCUAGCCGUAAACGAUGCUCGCUAGGUGUCACAACAGUCGUGAACUGUUGUGGUGCCGUAGGGAAGCCGUGAAGCGAGCCACUUGGGAAGUACGACCGCAAGGUUGAAACUUAAAGG